UGGGGAAUAUUGGACAAUGGGCGCAAGCCUGAUGCAGCGACGCCGCGUGAGGGAUGACGGCCUUCGGGUUGUAAACCUCUUUCAGUACCGACGAAGCGCGAGUGACGGUAGGUACAGAAGAAGCACCGGCCAACUACGUGCCAGCAGCCGCGGUAAAUCACUAGUGAAUUCGCGGCC
rnacentral:rRNA from 1 species